rnacentral:misc_RNA from 1 species
GAUGAAGAACGUAGCGAAAUGCGAUAAGUAAUGUGAAUUGCAGAAUUCAGUGAAUCAUCGAAUCUUUGAACGCACAUUGCGCCGGCCAGUAUUCUGGCGGGCAUGCCUGUCUGAGCGUCAUUUCAACCCUCAGCCCCCGCUCGCGGGGCGCUGGCGUUGGGGAUCGGCCGUCCUCGCGGCGGCCGGCCCCGAAACACAGUGGCGGUCUCUCGCGGACUCCCCUGCGUAGUAGCACUACCUCGCAGUAGGGACGAGCGGGCUGACCACGCCGUAAAACCCCCCACUUCUCCAGGUUGACCUCAGAUCAGGUAGGAAUACCCGCUGAACUUAAGCAUAUCAAUAAGCGGAGGA